rnacentral:lncRNA from 1 species
GGACAAUUAUACAUCAUAUACAUCAAAUAAGAAAAAUAAAAAAUAAUUAUGUAGGAUAUGCAUAAUGUAUAUAAGAAAAAUAAAACAUCAUAUACAUUUAUUUAGGACAAUUAAUAAUUAUUUAGGACAAUUAAUAAUUUUAAGAAAAAUAAAACAUUAUAUACAUUUAUCUAGGACAAUUAAUAAUUAAUAAUUAGUUAUGACAACUAGUAAGUAUUUAGGACAAUUAAUAAUUAAUAAUACAUCAUAUAUAUUUAUUUAGAACAAUUAAUAAUUAUUUAUAACAAUUAUACAUCAUAUACAUCAAAUAAGAAAAAUAAAAAAUAAAAAAAUAAAACAAUGGACGUUGGUGGGCCGGCCCAGCUGGGCAAGCGGCCCACCGGCCCCUGCCCCUCCCCCUCCCUCUCACCCUCGCCCUCUGCACGGCCGCAAGGCCGCCGCCGCCGCCUCAGGUGACCACCCCGAUGCUCUGGCCGCCUCGACUCCCCCCGCCUCCCAACGCCGCCUCGACUCCCCCAC